UCGGGAAUUUUGGGCAAUGGGCGAAAGCCUGACCCAGCAACGCCGCGUGAGGGAUGAAGUAUUUCGGUAUGUAAACCUCGAAAGAAUGGGAAGAAUAAAUGACGGUACCAUUUAUAAGCUCCGGCUAACUACGUGCCAGCAGCCGCGGUAAUACGUAGGGCGCAAGCGUUGUUCGGAUUUACUGGGCGUAAAGGGCGCGUAGGCGGCGCGGUAAGUCACUUGAAAUCUCUGAGCUUAACUCAGAACGGCCAAGUGGUACUGCAGUGCUAGAGGGCGGAAGAGGCAACCGGAAUUCUUGGGGUAGCGGUGAAAUGCGUAGAUAUCAAGAGGAACACCUGAGGCGAAGGCGGGUUGCCGGGCCGACACUGACGCUGAUGCGCGAAAGCCAGGGGAGCAAACG
rnacentral:rRNA from 1 species